UACGUAGGCAGCGAGCGUUGUUCGGAAUUACUGGGCGUAAAGCGCGCGUAGGCGGCUUUGUAAGUUAGAGGUGAAAGCCCGGAGCUCAACUCCGGAACUGCCUUUAAGACUGCAUCGCUAGAAUUGUGGAGAGGUGAGUGGAAUUCCGGGUGUAGAGGUGAAAUUCGUAGAUAUUCGGAAGAACACCAGUGGCGAAGGCGACUCACUGGACACAUAUUGACGCUGAGGUGCGAAAGCGUGGGGAGCAAACAGG
rnacentral:rRNA from 1 species